AUUUAAAUAGUUUAUUAAAAAUAUUGAUUUGUGGGGUCAAAGAUAUACUUAGUAUUUUAAAUA
rnacentral:tRNA from 1 species